rnacentral:rRNA from 1 species
UCCAGAGUUUGAUCAUGGCUCAGGACGAACGCUGGCGGCGUGCCUAAUACAUGCAAGUCGAGCGGACAGAUGGGAGCUUGCUCCCUGAUGUUAGCGGCGGACGGGUGAGUAACACGUGGGUAACCUGCCUGUAAGACUGGGAUAACUCCGGGAAACCGGGGCUAAUACCGGAUGGUUGUUUGAACCGCAUGGUUCAAACAUAAAAGGUGGCUUCGGCUACCACUUACAGAUGGACCCGCGGCGCAUUAGCUAGUUGGUGAGGUAAUGGCUCACCAAGGCAACGAUGCGUAGCCGACCUGAGAGGGUGAUCGGCCACACUGGGACUGAGACACGGCCCAGACUCCUACGGGAGGCAGCAGUAGGGAAUCUUCCGCAAUGGACGAAAGUCUGACGGAGCAACGCCGCGUGAGUGAUGAAGGUUUUCGGAUCGUAAAGCUCUGUUGUUAGGGAAGAACAAGUACCGUUCGAAUAGGGCGGUACCUUGACGGUACCUAACCAGAAAGCCACGGCUAACUACGUGCCAGCAGCCGCGGUAAUACGUAGGUGGCAAGCGUUGUCCGGAAUUAUUGGGCGUAAAGGGCUCGCAGGCGGUUUCUUAAGUCUGAUGUGAAAGCCCCCGGCUCAACCGGGGAGGGUCAUUGGAAACUGGGGAACUUGAGUGCAGAAGAGGAGAGUGGAAUUCCACGUGUAGCGGUGAAAUGCGUAGAGAUGUGGAGGAACACCAGUGGCGAAGGCGACUCUCUGGUCUGUAACUGACGCUGAGGAGCGAAAGCGUGGGGAGCGAACAGGAUUAGAUACCCUGGUAGUCCACGCCGUAAACGAUGAGUGCU